AAGACCUUGCGCUUUUGGAGCGGCCGAUGCCUGAUUAGCUUGUUGGUAAGGUAAAAGCUUACCAAGGCUUCGAUCAGUAGCUGGUCUGAGAGGACGGCCAGCCACACUGGGACUGAGACACGGCCCAGACUCCUACGGGAGGCAGCAGUGGGGAAUUUUGGACAAUGGGGGCAACCCUGAUCCAGCCAUGCCGCGUGAGUGAAGAAGGCCUUCGGGUUGUAAAGCUCUUUCAGCCGGAACGAAACGGUUACGGUUAAUACCUGUGAUUACUGACGGUACCGGAAGAAGAAGCACCGGCUAACUACGUGCCAGCAGCCGCGGUAAUACGUAGGGUGCGAGCGUUAAUCGGAAUUACUGGGCGUAAAGCGUGCGCAGGUGGUUUUGUAAGUCAGAUGUGAAAGCCCCGGGCUCAACCUGGGAACU
rnacentral:rRNA from 1 species